CAGUCGCCACGGUAAUACGAAGGGGGCUAGCGUUGUUCGGAAUUACUGAGCGUAAAGCGCACGUAGGCGGAUAUUUAAGUCAGGGGUGAAAUCCCAGAGCUCAACUCUGGAACUGCCUUUGAUACUGGGUAUCUUGAGUAUGGAAGAGGUGAGUGGAAUUCCGAGUGUAGAGGUGAAAUUCGCAGAUAUUCGGAGGAACACCAGUGGCGAAGGCGGCUCACUGGUCCAUUACUGACGCUGAGGUGCGAAAGCGUGGGGAGCAAACAGGAUUAGAGACCCGAGUAGUCCCUGUCUCUUAUAC
rnacentral:rRNA from 1 species